GCAGAUCAGGAACUAUCUCCCUUUUCCGAGGUGACGAAACUUAGGCCCAAGAAAGGUCAGUGAACUGUCCAGGGUCCUACAGCUGGAACCUGGUAGAUUCCAACUCUGCUUUCUUGUCCUCUGCCCAGCACAUUCUCCACUUGGUAGGCCCGAAAGGAGGAGAGGGACAGGAAAGGGAGGCCUCUCUUGCCUUUGUGCUUUCCCUCCACCACGUCACCUUGGCCUCUGAGGGAAAGGGACUUGCCCGAGUCACAGUGCCGGAGCCACGCCGCUGCCUCCGGGCCUGGGGAAGAUGCCGUCUCCACCUUCUGGAAAGUUGGCUUUUCUAAGGGCACUCCCAUGGGAUGGGCCUUGGAGAGUGGCUCUGGAGGCUGGUCCAGGCUCUGCAGGGGCGAGGUAGGCUUUGCCUGGACGAUGCUGCCCUAGAGGACAUGGUCCUCAGAGUGCCACAAUGGCCUUGACUCUCCGGGGAGAGGCCUGUGGGAAAUCCCAGAGGCCCAGUCACCAAAUACAGAAUCUGGAUAAUGGAAGUGGGGAAAGAAGACUUCUGGCUUCUGUGAGCCUCUGGGCACUUCCACCUGAGGCGGCACAGUGUGCCAGCGUUGCAGUGUUAGCUCUUUCUCAGACUCUUUCCUCCAGCUCAGCUCCCCUGUGGUUUGGGGCCCAGCAGUGUGUAGGGCGGUCUCUGCUUCCCACCCCCAUCAGCCGGACAGCAAAGGGAAGUGGACCCACUCACUGAGCAGUGACAGCCAGUGAGAAGCAGUUGGAGUGGGGAGAGUACAGCUGGAAGUGGCAGCCACCCCAGGACCUGAGAUGGGGCAGGAUGUACACCCCAGUGCCCUGAUGCUCGGCUUCUCAGCUGGUUCAGUCUCCGUCUGGAAGCUACUCCCCUGACAAAGGGGCUCCCCCACGGAGCACCUGAGCUGGGCUCCAGGGGAAACCAGUGGGGUGCAGUGAGGGCCUGGAGGCCCUGGACCUUGGCCUGUGGCUACGCCUGGCCUCUUGGACCUGGUUCAGGCCUGCUUUGGGAUGGUCCUAGGCUCCUGCUGGAUGUGCGGAACGUACUUGCUGAUUGCCCGGGAGGAUCUGACGAUCGAGUCAAAAAAUUAAGUCUAGAAAUCCUCAGAUCCAACUAGAGAAACCUAAAUGUGGCAGAGCCUUCAAGGAAUCUUCUAGUCUGGCCUCAAGACUCCAGGAAGAUGAGCACCCCAGAAUUUUUUCCUCCUCAGCCCUCCCUCCUACUCAUCGUCUCAGCACCUUCAUUUCUCAUUCUUCACAAAUAAUUUCUCUCCACCUGGGAAGAACCUGUAUGCCCCCAGCAUCCCACUGCAGGUUUGGAGGCCCUUUCCUUAAAUCUGGAAAUCACGCUGGGCCCCAUCUUCAGGUGGGCCCCCUCUCCUUUGGGCCCCGGGAUCUACAACAGAGCUGAACCAAGUGAGCAGAGCCUGGGCUCUGGCCAAAGGGCGGGGGCCCUGGGAGCAUCAUGGCUCCUGGCUGGGCGGCCCAGCGGGGCCCUCUGAGUGAGAUGGCUCCCAGUGGCGGGCCCAGUGUAGGGAACAGAGAAUUAAGUACGGUCUUAGGGUUCAACGUGAGAAUUGUAUUUUAUAAUUCUCGAAUUCUAGUCUAGGAUUCUAGUCCCCAAUUUUAAGUCUCUAUCUUACCAUCGUAGGGUUGAAUCCUACAACUUUUAGACUUCUAAGAAUGCAUUCUGUAACUCCGUUUCUCUAGAAUCUGUCUCUUCUGUACUUCUGUUACUCUAGUUACCUUUGGGCCCACGUCCCAUGCCCUUGGGAGUAUGGCCCUCACCUACAGACUCAACAGAAGGCCUUCAGCUCUUCCCACUUCCGUGAGUCCCGGAGAGGCUGGGUUGAGAGAGGGAAGGAAGCAGUGAGCUCCCAAAGAUGCUCCUCACCUUUUUCUUCUGCGUGGGCUCCUUCUCGCUGGCGUUGGAGGGCUUACGGCGCAACAUGGUCCUCUACCCUGGUGAUGCUCCGCCCCUGCGCUCGUAGGUAUCGAGAUGCGGAGGCCUCUUGCUCAGCCUCGCCGGCACCGUCCAGGGGGCACGGCAUGGACUGAGCCUCCGGCUGCCACUCUGACUGCUGCACUGGCAGCUUGGGGGUGCGGGCCAUGGACACCCGGCGGCAGCAGCAUACAGGAAGCCCCGUCACGUGACCUGCUCUUACAGCAAUCGCAGCCCCUGCCGGCCCCUAGGGAGGAAGGAAGUCCCAGCUUCAGUCUCCAGAGAUUCUGAUGCAGACGGCUCUUGGGUUGAACAAGCAGAGAAAAGUCCCUACCCUGCCAUCUCAUGGCAACCAUUGCCAGUCCUUCGGCCAGUCAACCUGACAUACGGCCUACUCAAGCCCUUUAUCUCACUGACCAGAGUCCCGAAACCGGAAGUGGGACCAUCUCUCUGCCUGUGGGGCCAAUGCUCCCAGUCACCUUGCAUCGCCAAGGUCAUCACUGCUAUCAGUCCCUCUCCUAUCACCCCAUAGCCAUCACUCCUAUCUACAGCCAUCAGCCCUGAAGUCAUCUCCACUGCUACUGGCACACCUACAGCCACCACUGCUAGAAAAACCAUCCCUACAGCCAUCACCCCUAUAGUCAUCACUGCUGCUAUCACUGUCACAACCAUCAUCCUCUCGGCUGUUAUCCUUACGGACAUUACAGCCAGUCACUCCCAUGACACUCUUACCCCACGACCAUCAUCCCUACAGCCAUCACCCCUACAACCAUCACCACACCCCUGCAGCCAACACCUUUCAGCUAUCAUCCCUGCAGUCAUUCCCACUGCCAUUAGCACCACUACAGCCAUCACUGCUAAAACAACCACCCCUGUAGUCAACACCCCUCGGCCAUCUGUCUCUAUCUGCCUCACCACUGCCACUAUCACCGGUACGGUGAUCAUCCUCAUAGCUAUCACCCUUACAGACACUAUCACUAUAGCCAGUCAUGCCCACUGAUGCCCUCACCCCUACAACCAUAACUCCUAGAGCCAUCUCUCCUCCACCAUCACCCUGCAGCAGUCAUCUCCACUGUCACCGGCACACCUGCAGCCAUUCUCACCAGAGCACUCACACCUAGAGUCAACAUCCCUUGGCCAUCACCACUUAUAUUUAUCACCACCACAGCCAUCAACAUGAAUAAAAAAGCAAUUGCAAGCAACUCCACACCACCAGCAAAUGUCCCUUUCAGCAGGCAUUUCUCGAAUGUCUAUGUGCUAAGUUUAGAAUGUUCGCUUUGUGGGUUAUCUGUGGCAGAUAUUUUAAUAACCUUAAUUACUUUUUCUUAUUACAAAAGCAAUUCAUAUGCGUCAUAUACGAUUUAGAAAACAAGGAUAAACAAAAUUCAAAAAUUCUCCGAAAUUAUCUUCCAUACUAUUUGCAUGAAUAUUUUUCUGUUUUUGAGCAUUUAACCUCUCUCUCCCCCCCCCCCGUGUGUGUGUGUGUGUGUGUGUGUGUGUGUCUCUCUCUCUCUCUCUCUCUGUCUCUCUCUCUGUCUCUCUCUCUGCAGCAUGAUUUGCACAGAGAGCAGAUCAGUGGUUUGGGGGGAUGGGGAGGGGAGGGAGAGAUCAGGAGGGUCACAAGGACCCUUUUGGGGGUGAUGGGUAGUUCACAAUCUUGGUUGUGGUGAUGGUUUCAUCGGUGUAUACAUAUGUAAAAACUGAACAAAUCGUAUACUUUUAAAAUGUGCAGCUUAUUGUAGUUAAAUUAUACCUAAAUAAAGCUGUUUUUAAAUUUUUAAAAAUUAAAGUCCCACUUCACACACUGCA